rnacentral:rRNA from 1 species
AGUCUGCAACUCGACUGCGUGAAGUCGGAAUCGCUAGUAAUCGCGGAUCAGCAUGCCGCGGUGAAUACGUUCCCGGGCCUUGUACACACCGCCCGUCACACCAUGAGAGUCUGUAACACCCAAAGCCGGUGGGAUAACCUUUAUAGGAGUCAGCCGUCUAAGGUAGGACAGAUGAUUAGGGUGAAGUCGUAACAAGGUACC